UGGUUGACUGAGGAAAUUCUGCUGC
rnacentral:piRNA from 1 species